GAGUGGAUGAACAUACCAUUGGUGAUC
rnacentral:piRNA from 1 species